rnacentral:rRNA from 1 species
UACAGAGGGGGCAAGCGUUGUUCGGAAUUACUGGGCGUAAAGGGCGCGUAGGCGGCCUGUUAAGUCGAACGUGAAAUCCCCGGGCUCAACCGGGGAACUGCGUCUGAUACUGGAUGGCUUGAGUUCGGGAGAGGGAUGCGGAAUUCCAGGUGUAGCGGUGAAAUGCGCAGAUAUCGGGAAGAACACCCGUGGCGAAGGCGCCUGUCUGGCUGACAACUGACGCUGAGACUCGAAAGCAUGGGGAGCAAACAGG